AGUGAACGCUGGCGGUAGGCCUAACACAUGCAAGUCGAACGGCAGCACAGUAAGAGCUUGCUCUUACGGGUGGCGAGUGGCGGACGGGUGAGGAAUACAUCGGAAUCUACUUUUUCGUGGGGGAUAACGUAGGUAAACUUACGCUAAUACCGCAUACGACCUACGGGUGAAAGCAGGGGAUCUUCGGACCUUGCGCGAAUGAAUUAGCCGAUGUCGGAUUAGCUAGUUGGCGGGGUAAAGGCCCACCAAGGCGACGAUCCGUAGCUGGUCUGAGAGGAUGAUCAGCCACACUGGAACUGGGACACGGUCCAUACUCCUACGGGAGGCAGCAGUGGGGAAUAUUGGACAAUGGGCGCAAGCCUGGUCCAGCCAUACCGCGUGGGUGAAGAAGGCCUUCGGGUUGUAAAGCCCUUUUGUUGGGAAAGAAAAGCAGCAGGUUAAGACCCCGCUGUUCUGACGGUACCCAAAGAAUAAGCACCGGCUAACUUCGUG
rnacentral:rRNA from 1 species